rnacentral:rRNA from 1 species
UACGGGGGGGAGCAAGCGUUGUUCGGAUUUACUGGGCGUAAAGGGCGCGUAGGCGGUCAGCACAAGUCAGUUGUGAAAUCUCCGGGCUUAACUCGGAAAGGUCAACUGAUACUGUGCGACUAGAGUGCAGAAGGGGCAACUGGAAUUCUCGGUGUAGCGGUGAAAUGCGUAGAUAUCGAGAGGAACACCUGCGGCGAAGGCGGGUUGCUGGGCUGACACUGACGCUGAUGCGCGAA